CUUAUUUAUUCACACUUCUGAAUGACAAACAAUCCACUUGAUUGUUGUUCCAACAGAUUCAAGGUUCUCUGUCCCUCUUAAGUGGAAUAAAUUAAACAAACGGAAAAGUUAUGAUGACACACAAGUGGUGUGAAAGAGAAAAGUAAAGAACGCAAUAAAGAAAAAGAAAGAACAAGGAAAAGAUUGUUUUAAAAAGGGGAAGAAUGAAGGAUACAAGAGUCAGUCGCUAGAACUCAAUGAAGGAGGACACAGAGUUCACUGUCGUAGGCCACCAAUUCAUUGACCGAUCUCUGCUAGGGAGUUGCUUGAGAGCCCAUAAAGAGAUAAGAUGUCUCUGUAAGUGGCCUGGAGAAGAAGUGUUGAUCAAGCUUCUUGAGGACAAUCAGUCACCUAUUCCCAGAGAAAAAAUCGGAUGCCACAAACCAAAAACAAGAAAACUCAACUGGAGAUACUAAGGAAAGACUGCAAAAGAGAAUCUCCAUCAUCACUGUGUGUGUGUGUGUGUGUGUGUGUGUGUGUGUGUGU
rnacentral:lncRNA from 1 species